UGGUCCAGACUCGAUUAUUUACAGACCGCCGUCAUAUAGCAGGAAUAUUGCUGAGUGCGGCGUUAAACAACAAACUAACCAACCAGAGUAAUCUAUCAAACUGUAGCCACAAGAGAUAACCGCAACCCACUACAAACGUAAGCGGAAAUGUUAUGGAAACAAAAGAAUGAUAAUGCUGAUAUCGGUACGGCUCUUCGAAGUGGCUAGGACACCGGAACGACACAGAUUGUUUCAAUGUGUACUGAUGUCUUUCAUAUAUCAAGAAUUGAUAAAAAAUUCCACAAUCUAAAGAAUCUGAAGAAUAUCUUCAGUUUCAUUCCUGCUUUUGUGGUUUUUAACUGAUAUCCUGAGUAGUCUGCUUGUAGCCUUGAGAACAUUCAUUAAAAUGACUAUUUCGUUUUUCGAGACAAUCUUUUAACCAUUUGUAAUUUGCAAAUACAUGACGGCCCCUUUUCAUGGUCCAAUCCAAAAUUUUCGUUAAUUUCUUCAAGGGAAACCUACGUAGAGAGAGGUAAUUUUGCAAAUCAAUUCAAAAUAAAAAAUAAAUUGUUUAAUCAUAUAUUUGAGUCAAUUCAUUUGACUAAUGAUAAAGAAAUCAUUGACGUCUCAAAAUUAAUUUUUAAAUUGACUUCAGUUGACGGUGGUGUCAGUACCUGGGGCCAGUGGACUGGACCAGCUUGCCCUCAGACAUGUGGGACCUCGCACACCAUAACGAAAAGCCGGACUCGAACAUGCACGAACCCGUCUCCAGAUAAAGGAGGGGCAAGCUGCACAGAAAGCCUCUCGGAAACAGGUGACGUCAACUGUGGUUUGCCCCAAUGUCCGUACUAUCCUAACUUUGGCACGUGCAGCUCCUCUUGUUCUGGGACGAACGUGGUCUGCAACAACGGUUAUUGUGUGUGUAGCAUAAUGUACGUCAAGCUCGACAGCAGCUGUGUCCAGGAUUGCGGCGGAUCUGGAUAUGGAUCAGGCUUCACCAUCUUUCACGACAAAGUCCUGAAUGGUUACAACGACAAGAUCGUCUCCUCCAUUCAAACAAUUGACGCGUGUAUCAGUCUGUGCCAGGCGGAAUCGGGUUUUACUUGUAUUACCGCGGACUAUGCGCAUCAGUCAAAGACUUGCUACUUGAGCAAAACAGCUUGGUAUGAUGUACCAGCGAGCUCGGCUGGCAGUAGCACCAUAUAUCACCAGGUAAUUCGUAAUUGUGCUUAAAAGUCGGAAAGGAGAGGUCACUUGUAGCAUGUAGGAGAGGUCACUUGUAGCAUGUAUAUAUAUAUUUUGUGUACAAAGAGAACAGUCACGGCGAUGCGAAAAAAAUAUUGCUUUUGCAAGUUCGUGAUUUGAGGUUGGUCAGAUUUCAGGUAGAUCAAGAAGGAUGCCCUUACAAAGCUCUACAUUAUCAGAAGUUAACGGAUCGAGUGGGUCAGGCUGUCUCGCUGACUUAAUUGGUUGAUGCAUGUCAUCGUAUCCCAACUGCGUGGAUUGAUGCUCAUGAUGUCAAUUUCUGGAUUGUCUUGACUCGAUUAUUUACAGACCGCCGUCAUAUAGCUGGAAUAUGGCUUUAACACACAAACAAACUUAAGUGGCUGUGCAGUAGAUUCGAGUUCAAUUCCCAUCACUAAUGCCAUUGUUGGUUUUCCCCUUCCUAUUGUUGUGGUGAUCUCGAGCCAAUGCUUAUAAUGUACCAUGCACCCUAGCUUCACCAAACUUUCUCCACACAUUAACCGCAAUGAGUACUUGUGCCUUUUGCUAGUUUGAAGAUUCUGAUUUUUUUAAUUUUUGCC
rnacentral:lncRNA from 1 species